CUGCAAAAUAUCUUCAGAAGCAGGACAGCAAGAGAUAAAAAUGGAACAGCUAAUAACAACUUAGUUAUUUCCAGGACAGUCUUUGUUUAAGAAAAGGGUCAAAAGAAGAUAAUAUCCUACUUACCAAACUUCAUCAUACUUAUCAUUAAAUCUCUGAUUUGGCUCCCCAGCCAGCAACUUUUGUAUGAAGCAUGUUUUCAAAAGUAGAUCUCCAGGUGUCUGGAAGGAAACGAUGGUCCAGUAGUAUAGCAAGACUUACAGAAAGACUUUUCUGAAAUGUAUACAGAAGGGGGGAGAAAUAGAGAACAGAAA